GAGUUUGAUCGUGGCUCAGAUUGAACGCUGGCGGCAUGCCUUACACAUGCAAGUCGAACGGCAGCACGGGCUUCGGCCUGGUGGCGAGUGGCGAACGGGUGAGUAAUACAUCGGAACGUGCCCUGUUGUGGGGGAUAACCAGUCGAAAGAUUGGCUAAUACCGCAUACGACCUGAGGGUGAAAGCGGGGGACCGCAAGGCCUCGCGCAGCAGGAGCGGCCGAUGUCUGAUUAGCUAGUUGGUGAGGUAACGGCUCACCAAGGCGACGAUGCGUAGCCGACCUGAGAGGGUGAUCGGCCACACUGGGACUGAGACACGGCCCAGACUCCUACGGGAGGCAGCAGUAGGGAAUCUUCCGCAAUGGACGAAAGUCUGACGGAGCAACGCCGCGUGAGUGAAGAAGGUUUUCGGAUCGUAAAACUCUGUUGUCAGGGAAGAACAAGUACGGUAGUAACUGCCCGUACCUUGACGGUACCUGGCCAGAAAGCCACGGCUAACUACGUGCCAGCCGCCGCCGUAAC
rnacentral:rRNA from 1 species